rnacentral:rRNA from 1 species
UACGUAGGGUCCGAGCGUUGUCCGGAUUUAUUGGGCGUAAAGAGCUCGUAGGCGGUUCGGUAAGUCAGGUGUGAAAUCUCCACGCUCAACGUGGAGGCGCCACCUGAAACUGCCGUGACUCGAGUCCGGUAGGGGAGUGUGGAAUUCCUGGUGUAGCGGUGAAAUGCGCAGAUAUCAGGAGGAACACCGGUGGCGAAGGCGGGUCUCUGGGCAACAACUGACGCUGAGGAGCGAAAGCGUGGGGGAGCGAACAGGA